UGAGUUCUUUCAGCUGAGAAUGUAGUGAGAGAGAGAGAUUUCUUUCUUCUGGUUUUAAGUGAAGCCAGAAGCUCCUAGUCAUGUCCAGCCCAGAUGCCAAGGCAGUCACACAUGUGCUCCCAGCUCCCCCACCCCAGCGGAGCAGAGCAGCCCGAUUGAGGGACGAGGAGCAACAGUCAGCAGCCCUGCAGGCUGAGCAACAACCGGAAGAGGAGACACUGGGUCAUCGUGGUGGGAGACAACCUCCCGAGAGGCAUGGAGGGGCCUAUUGGUUGACCAGAUCCCACAGUGCAGGAGAUUUGCUGCCUGCCCGGUGCCAGAAGCCAAGACAUCACUGCGUGAGCCCAGGGGUACACAGAUGCCAGUUAGCAGAUGCUGCAGUUUGUAUUGGACUUCCAAGAGAUUCCCCAGUGCCACGCAUCUCUUCGUUGGCCACCAAUUUCAUAGACAGCCUCUCAGACUCCAA